rnacentral:rRNA from 1 species
AGAGUUUGAUCCUGGCUCAGAACGAACGUUAGCGGCGCGCCUAACACAUGCAAGUCGAGCGAGAAAGGGCUUCGGCCCCGGUACAGCGGCGCACGGGUGAGUAACACGUAGGUAAUCUACCCCUGAAUGGUGGAUAACCCUCCGAAAGGAGGGCUAAUACAGCAUAAGACCACGGCUUCUUCGGAGGCUGAGGCCAAAGCGGGCCUCUUAACUAAAGCUCGCGUUUGGGGAUGAGCCUGCGGCCCAUCAGCUAGUUGGCGGUGUAAUGGACCACCAAGGCUAAGACGGGUAGCUGGUCUGAGAGGAUGAACAGCCACACUGGAACUGAGACACGGUCCAGACUCCUACGGGAGGCAGCAGUGGGGAAUCUUGCGCAAUGGGCGAAAGCCUGACGCAGCGACGCCGCGUGAGUGAUGAAGGCCUUCGGGUUGUAAAGCUCUGUGGGGAGAGACGAAUAAGUUCCACCUAAUACGUGGAGCGAUGACGGUAUCUCCUUAGCAAGCACCGGCUAACUCUGUGCCAGCAGCCGCGGUAAUUC